UUUGUACUCCCUCCGUCCCAAAAUUCCUGUCUUAGAUUUGUCUAAAUACGGAUGUAUCUAGUUACAUUUUAGUGUUAGAUACAUCCGUAUCUAAACAAAUGUAAGACAAGAAUUUUGGGACGGAGGGAAUACUAC
rnacentral:pre_miRNA from 1 species